AUGGCGAGGAUAGAGAGGGUGAGGUAGAGAUGGCGAGAAUAGAGACGUUGAGAUAGAGAGGGUGAGGUAGAGAGGGUGAGGUAGAGAGGGUGAGGUAGAGAGGGCGAGGUAGAGUUUGCAAGGUAGAGAUGGCGAGAAUAGAGACGUUGAGGUAGAGAGAGGGAGGUAGAGAGGGCGAGGUAGAGUUUGCAAGGUAGAGAUGGCGAGAAUAGAGACGUUGAGGUAGAGAGAGGGAGGUAGAGAUGGCGAGGUAGAGAGGGUGAGGUAGAGAGGGCGAGGUAGAGAUGGCGAGGUAGAGAUGGCGAGGUAGAGAGGGCAAGGAUAGAGAUGUUGAGGAUAGAGAGGGUGAGGAUAGAGACGUUGAGGAUAGAGAGGGUGAGGUAGAGAUGGUGAGGUAGAGAGGGCGAGGAUAGAGAGGGUGAGGAUAGAGACGUUGAGGAUAGAGAGGGUGAGGUAGAGAUGGUGAGGAUAGAGAGGGUGAGGAUAGAGACGUUGAGGAUAGAAAGGGUGAGGAUAGAGA
ensembl:lncRNA